GCCAGAUGUCGCUGUGGCUCUCUGCGUGUGGGCGGCGGCCACGCUCACGGCCUCCGAAGUUUGGGGGAUUUUUGCCAAUUAGAUAAGUAGAAAUUGUUUUCCGGAUUAUGCCACUCUCACUUCCUGGAAUGUCCUGUGUGCUGUAUCUUCAAGGAGACCAUUUGGCCACACUCCCAAAUCCCUGGCCUUUGACCAGACACCUACUGCCUCCACAGACUCCCAAGAGAGCUAUGCAGGGGAACAGUCCUGACCAUCACUAUUCUGGGGAUAUCGCUACUAAGCGUGCCAUAGACUUGCACAAAAUCAUAUGUGUGAAGAAGGAAGAUUGAUGGUGGUUCCUACACAAGACACAGCAAGACCUAUCACAGUUGUCACGUGGUUAUGGUGGAUUGCCUCUGCGCAAAUUGUUUUGAAUCAGAAUUAAAGAACCAAGACACCAGUCAUAUUGGAUUACGACCCACCCUAAUGAUCUCAUCUUGACUUGAUCAUCUGCAAAGAUCCUAUUUUCAAAUAAG